GAUGAACGCUAGCUACAGGCUUUAACACAUGCAAGUCGAGGGGCAGCAUUUUUAUAGCAAUAUAAAAGAUGGCGACCGGCGCACGGGUGAGUAACACGUAUCCAACCUGCCGAUAACUCGGGGAUAGCCUUUCGAAAGAAAGAUUAAUAUCCGAUGGUAUAAUUAGACCGCAUGGUCUUGUUAUUAAAGAAUUUCGGUUAUCGAUGGGGAUGCGUUCCAUUAGGCAGGUUGGUGAGGUAACGGCUCACCAAACCUUCGAUGGAUAGGGGUUCUGAGAGGAAGGUCCCCCACAUUGGAACUGAGACCACGGUCCAAACUCCUACGGGAGGCAGCAGUGA
rnacentral:rRNA from 1 species